rnacentral:tRNA from 1 species
GCCCGGCUGGCUCAGUUGGUAGAGUGUGAGACUCUUGAUCUCAGGGUGAUGAGUUCGGGCUUCAUGUUGGGAU